UACAGAGGUCUCAAGCGUUUGUUCGGAAUUACUGGGCGUAAAGGGUGCGCAGGCCGCGCGGGCAGUCAAAUGUGUAAUUCAGGGGCUCAACCCCUGCACUGCGCUUGAUACUUCCGCGCUCGAGCUUUGGAGAGGAGUCUGGAAUUCUCGGUGUAGCAGUGAAAUGCGUGGAUAUCGAGAAGAACACUUAGGGCGAAGGCAAGACUCUGGACAAAAUGCUGACGCUCAUGCACGAAGGCUAGGGUAGCGAACGGG
rnacentral:rRNA from 1 species